ensembl:lncRNA
AAUGUGUUUUUCAUUUGUACAUAAAAUGUGACACUCCCUGGUGUCACAAAGGGAGACUUGUCAGACAGCUUCUAGGUGGCAUCAUUUGUUUUGUGACACUGGGCACCAUUAGUCUCAAUUAUGAAUCCCCUAAGGGUCGCAUCAUGAGCAAGCCUUGCACUUACUAAGAGAAGCUAAUGCCGCGAGAACAAACGCUGCAGAUGGUUUCUGAGCACAUGUAAGGCUCUUCCUUGGCAGACUGGGGCUAUCAGAGGCCCACACACACAGGUUGUAAAGAAAAGAGCUUGGAUUAUUUAACAACAGAAGCACUCCAGUUGGGCUUCUAUAAGUUUCUGGCUGUUCUUUAAUGAGCCCAAACACACAAAGCUCUUCAAAGUACAGUUGGUUUUCAAAGGUGAAGAUUCUCCCUUCAUGAACUUAUAUCUUGUGACUUGCAUUGAUUAUUCUCCACAAAGCAUGAAAUAGAACGGUGUGAAAAAUAGUCGAGACUGAAUGGCAACCACUGUGAAGCCCACACUCUCUGAAAAGAUGGAGACCCUGAGACAAAAGAAACCUGCAAAAGGCUAUGAGAUUUCGG